rnacentral:rRNA from 1 species
GACGAACGCUGGCGGCGUGCUUAACACAUGCAAGUCGAACGGAAAGGCCCUGCUUUUGUGGGGUGCUCGAGUGGCGAACGGGUGAGUAACACGUGAGUAACCUGCCCUUGACUUUGGGAUAACUUCAGGAAACUGGGGCUCAUACCGGAUAGGAGCUCCUGCUGCAUGGGGGGGGAUGGAAAGAUUCGGCGGUUGGGGAUGGACUCGCGGCUUAUCAGCUUGUUGGUGGGGUAGUGGCUUACCAAGGGUUUGACGGGUAGCCGGCCUGAGAGGUGGACCGGCCACAUUGGGACUGAGAUACGGCCCAGACUCCUACGGGAGGCAGCAGGGGGGAAUAUUGCACAGUGGGCGGAAGCCUGUGGCGGCAACGCCGCGUGCGGGAUGACGGCCUUCGGGUUGUAAACCGCUUUCGCCUGUGACGAAGCGUGAGUGACGGUAAUGGGUAAAGAAGCACCGGCUAACUACGUG